UUGCUUUGGCAGCACAUAUACUAAAAUUGGAACGAUACAGAAAAGAUUAGCAUGGCCCCUGUGCAAGGAUAAUACACAUUCAAAUCCAUCAAAACCCAUGUUU